CCUACGGGUGGCAGCAGUGGGGAAUAUUGCGCUAAUGCGGGAAACCGUGACGCAGCGACGCCGCGUGGGGGACGAAGGCCCUCGGGUCGUAAACCCCUUUCGCCAGGGACGAAACUGACGGUACCUGGAGAAGAAGUCCCGGCUAACUACGUGCCAGCAGCCGCGGUAACACGUAGGGGACGAGCGUUGUCCGGAUUCAUUGGGCGUAAAGCGCGCGUAGGCGGCUCGGAAAGUCGGUUGUGAAAACCCGGAGCUCAACUCCGGGCCUGCAUCCGAUACUCCCGGGCUGGAGGUAGGUAGGGGGGAUCGGAAUUCCUGGUGUAGCGGUGAAAUGCGCAGAUAUCAGGAGGAACACCGGUGGCGAAGGCGGAUCCCUGGGCCUUACCUGACGCUGAGGCGCGAAAGCUGGGGGAGCAAACAGGAUUAGAUACCCCUGUAGUC
rnacentral:rRNA from 1 species